GUGUGUAUGUGUAUUACAUGCCUAGUGUGUAUGUGUAUUACAUGCCUAGUGUGUAUGUUUGUCUGACAUCCUUAGUUUGUGUGUGUACUAGCUAGUUUGUGUGUGAGUGACAUGCCUGGUUUAUGUGUAUGAUAAGUCUGGUCUGUGUGUGUCAAAUUUGUGAAAAUGUAGUGUGUGUGUGUGUGAUAGAUUGUGCCAUCGUGGCGUGCCUAGAAUGUGUGUGACAUAAGAGAAUCAGAGAGAAGAGAGAGGUAGAGAAGUCAGAGUGAAGAGAGAGGUAGAGGUCAGAGAGAAGAGAGAGGUAG
rnacentral:sRNA from 1 species